ACUUUAAUAACAAUAGCAGUUAAUGAAAGAAUCAGCUCAAAUAAUUUACGACCUAUUGUAGCAUUUAACCACCAAACGUUUCAUUUCAGUGACUGCAUAGCUGAGGAGGUAGGUGACAGAGCCAUGCUGCGGUCUAUUCUACUUGUAGUGAUAUUGUCGUUGUUGGCAUUUCAACUUUGUCCAGCAUUUGCCUGUCUAUCAAGGGGCUUACAGUGCAGCAAUGCUACAAAUGCUCCGGAACAUCUGAAAUGUUGUGAACACGUUGAGUGUCUGUACAUGUGGUCUACAAAGGAAAAUAUCUGCGUUUAAAAUCCGCCAUUAUGUUCUUGUAAUGCAGCGUAUAUGUAACUCAAAUUAAAUAUUGAUCUAAUAAACAUCAAAUGUGCGUGAAGAUGGUUUAUUAUAGCAUUCAGUAUAAAUAUUAAAUUGUUGGAAACAUA